GUCCGCCCCCACGCGGCCGCCUGCACAGGGGGUUCCAGCCACCCGCGCUCUCCCAGGUUUGCCGACCUUACGGGCCCUUCUCCGCCAGCCCUGGCUGGGUCACCCCCACGACCCGGGACUCCCCCGCCGUUCCCUCCCGGGCUGCCUGCAGUGAGGUCCGCUCCUGAGGCCUCAGCCUCGCCGGGGGUAGGGCCCUCUCCCGCCGUCGCCGCAGCUCCUUUCCGUCCCGGGGCCUGGGGGGCACCGUCCCACGGGUGAGGGCCGCCUCCAGCGCCUGGCCCAGCCAUGCGAACGCCUGGAGCCCGCGAGCUGCAGCUGCGGCCCUGAAGGUGCCGCAUAUCCUGCCGAGUGGGUGAAGCGUGGCACUUUGGAAAACAAAUCGGGUGAUCCGCCCACCUCGGCCUCCCAAAGUGCUGGAAUUACAGGCAUGAACCACGGUGCCCGGCUGACACAAGGAACUUUCUAUGAGGUCCUAGGAAUGAAGGAAAACAGGCAAUAAGGCAAGAAUCGCUGUCGAAGGAGUCUGCGCCACCUGCUCGCACAGCUCACUUGUGCCUUCUGAGCCUGCUGGAGCCCAGUGUACAUAUGCCGUCUCCGCGUGAUUAGAGAUUGCUGCUGCACGUGCCCAAUCCCGUGGCGGGGCUGGAACACAAACGGGGUGGUGUUCCAGCUGCAACCAUGCAGAUGAAGACUAUACCCUAGGAGAUGGAGGAACAACAGACAAGAAAGAAACCUGGGUUCCUGAAUAACCACGUGGAGCCAAGCAGCUUACUUAUCUCAAGCCACUGUUGCCCACCUCCAGAUUGAACUGUCUGCAAACAAAUCUUUACUUGAUGAGAAGUUUAAAUAUAAUUAAAUCUAGAAUAUUACAUGAAUAUUUUAUUGCUUUAUUAAGUCCUUCAAACAACACAUUUAUUUAUUUAUUUAUUUAUUUAUUUAUUUAUUAUUUUUUUUGAGACAGAGUCUCACUCUGUUGCCUAGGCUGGAGUACAGUGGCACGAUCUCAGCUCACUGCAUCCUCCACCUCCCAGGUUCAAGCGAUUCUCCUGCCUCAGCCUCCUAAGUGGCUGGGAUUACAGGAGUCCACCACCACACCCAGCUAAUUUUCAAACAACACAGUUUUUAGAGGUAUAAUUAACCUCUUUAGAAUAUUACCUCACAACAGAAUAAACAAAUCAAAAACUUCAGAUAUUCUUUCUAAAGACCCCCUUAGUCAGUAAUAUCUAUAAUCACAUGACAAUGAGUGACACCAUGUGAUAGUGGCCCGAAGGCUCAAUGAUGCUGGCCAUGCAACUCACUUACUUACCCUCCUCUGGCAACAGAUUUUCUUUUCUUUUCUUGUUUUUUCUUUCUUUCUUUUUUUUUUUUUUUUGAGAUGGAGUCUCGCUCUGUCAUCCACGCUGGAGUGCAGUGGCACGAUCUCAGCUCACUGCAACCUCUGCCUCCUGGGUUAAAGCGAUUUUCCUGCUUCAGCUUCCUGGGUAGCUAGAACUACAGGUGCCCGCCACCACGCCAGACUAAUGUUCGUAUUUUUAGUAGAGACAGGGUUUUACCGUGUUGGCCAGGCUGGUCUCAAACUCCUGAGCUCAGGUGAUCUGCCCACCUCAGCCUCCCAAAGUGCUGGGAUUAAAGGCAUGAGCCACCAUGCCCGGCCUGGCAACAGAUCUUCUACCCACAAGGAAGGGCAUGUCCUCCAGGGCUGGAUCCUUGAGGGACUCGUUCCCCAGGCCACAGUGACGGGCCAGAGAUGGGCAUGUGAUCCCAGCAGGACCAUUCAGAAUUCUCCCUUAGAAUUGAUGCACAGAGGUAGGAAGAGAGGUUUUUCGGAUUACUUCACUCCUUGGACUAUUAAGCGGGGGUUGCCUCAUGGAGGAACAGAGCCUGCUGGCAAAGAUGAGCAGCAACAAAAGACGGACAGAGACUUAACUGUGUGGAGUCCCCUUUCAGGGUCCCUGCAGCUCUUCCUCCAACCCAAAGACCUAGUCCGAGGAUCCUCUCCCAUUACCAAGCCAGUAAAUUUCCCUUUGAGUGGGAUUUCUGUCACUUACAACCAACAGGCCUAACACAAGAGUGAACUGUAAGGGAGACCUCUAAGGCCAGCCACUUAAUGCCAUAUCUCAUCAAGAUGCCCUUGAUUGUAAAACAUACCAUCAUUUUAUGUACCAUGAGGAAAGGGGAAAAUGCUGUAAGUAAGCUAUGACAAGCCACUGAUUAUGAGAUGCAUCCCAGUUUCAGAAGCAUGAAAAUAUGGGAAAAAUGUGCUUCCUAGGCCUGAUGAAAUAUUGCAGCUGUGUGCCCUUGGGUGAGUUACUUAAUCUCUAUGUUCCUUGGUGUCCUCGUCUUUAAAGUGAGGAUGACAAUGCCCACCUGACAGGAUUGUUGUGAGGAUUUAGCCUAUCUACACACAAAUGUUCUUAGUAACAUUAUUCAUAAUAGCCAAAAAUUGGAAACAAGGCUGGGCACAGUGGCUCAUGUCUGUAAUCCCAGCACUUUGGAAGGCCAAAGUGGGCAGAUCCCUUGAGCCCAGGAGUUCAAGACCAGCCUGAGCAACAUGGGAAAACCACCAUCUCUACAAAAAAUAUAAAAAAGUCAGCCAGGCAUGGUGGCACAUGCCUGUAGUCCCAGCUACUUAGGAGGCUAAGGCAGGAGGAUCACGUGAGUCCCGGAGGUUGAGGCUGCGUUGAGCCAUGAUCACAUCACUGCACUCCAGCCUGGGCAAUAGAAUGAGAUCCUGUCUCAAAAAAAAAAAGGAAACAACCUAACUGUCCAUCAACUGGCGAAUGGAUAGAGAGAAUGUGGUACAUCCACACAAUGAAAUACUACUGAGCAAUGAUAAAGAACAAACUACUGAUACAUGCUAUGCCAUGGAUAAGUCUUGCAAAUGCUACGUGGAGAGAGAAGCCAGACCCAAAACAAUGCAUACUGUAUGCUUCCAUGUAUUUAUUUAUUUAUUUUAUUUAGUGGGUUUUUUUUUCUUUUUUUGUGACAGAGUCUUGCUCUGUCACCCAGGCUGGAGUGCAGUGGUACAAUCUCAGCUCAGUGCAACCUCUGCCUCCCGGGUUCAAGUGAUUCUCCUACCUCAGACUCCUGAGUAGCUGGGAUUACAAGCACGCGCCACCAUGCCUGGCUAAUUUUUUUGUAUUUUUAGUAGAGAUGGGGUUUCAACAUGUUGCCCAGGCUGGUCUGGAACUCCUGACCUCAAGUGACCCACCCACCUCGGGCUCCCAAAGUGCUAGGAAUACAGGUGUGAGCCACCGUGCCUGGCCUGUUAUGAUUCCAUUUUAUGAAAUGUCCAGAAAAGACAAAUUUAGAGACAGAAAAUAGAUUAUGGAGCUGGGCACUGCAGCUCACACCUCUAAUCUCAGGACUUUGGGAGGGUGAGGUGGGAGGAUUGCUUGAGGCCAGGAGUUCAAGACCAGCCUGGGCAACAUAGUGAGACCCCAUCUCUGCAAAAAAGAAACUAGAUUAAAGGUUGCCUGGAGAAGGGGGAGAAUGGGGAUUAACAGUAAAUGGGACUGCAGUCUUUUAUUGGAGUCAUGGAAAUGUUCUAAAAUGGAUUUAUGGUGAGGGUUACACAACUUGGUAAAUUUACUAACAAUUCACUGAAUUGUACACUUGAAAUGAGUAAGUUAUACAAUAUGUAAGAUAUACAUCAAUAGUGGUAUUAAAAAUAGAUGUACAAUGCCUAGAUGAGCUGCUUAAUAUGGUGUGUGCUUAAGAAAUCGUGACUCACUUCAGAGCUGCUCUGGCUUAGAUUCCUAAAUCCAUAAAACUUCCCUUUCCUGGUCUCCUGAACGGGUGAGUUUUCUUUCCUUUUACAUCCUGCACCAGGACCUCUGUGGAGGGUAUCAAGAAGAAGCCCUGCUUCUAGAAAUUAUUAGUCAGUUAAGCUGUCAGGAUCUUACAAGGAGACAGCAGAAGAGAGCGCCUCUGUCUACAGGGAGCAGAGGUAGGGGAUUUCAGAAGGCUGGGAAACCUCGCCCUUCAGUUCAUCCUCCACCCACCACCACCAUCACACACACAAACUAGGAGCCUAUUGACCUACCGCUUCCCAGAUCUGUCCUGGGGUCAGGAAAAGGCCGCAGAAUCAUAAAGAAAUGAAGCUGAUUUCACUUCCUGGAUCACCAGUUUUGUUCCCUCAGCACGACUCCCUGAGAGUCUUCUCUCCAGCCUAACCAUGCACUUUUCCAAGCGUCGAGAUGCUUAGAAACUUCCAAAAAUACUUGACCACAGUGCCAGAAAGACAUUUCUAAUAAAACUUGCCAGCAAAGGGCUGGGAAGACCCCAAGUGUCUCUUGUCAGGGAAGCUUUAUAGACUUAGCUCCUGGGAGCCAGCUGGGCCCUGGCUUGCUAGACCACCCUGCAAGGGCUUGGCCUCUCUCCCCAGCCCCUGCCAGGCCUGCUGGAAGUAGUGGCUGGAAAGAAAUGGGGGCUUUGGGGUCAGGGAGCCUGUGUUCCAACUCCGGCUCCCCUUGCACUGGCUGUGUGGCUUUAGGCAUGUGACUGAACCCCAAGAGCCACAGUUCAUUCAGCAAUAAAAUGAGAGCUUCUGUCACCACUGCCUCUCCAGAGGCUGCUGUCGAUUAAUGGAAUGUCAUGGGUGAUUGCAUCGGGAAUGGGGGGCGUCCAGUAAAGGCAGCUUCCUGCCCUAGGCUUCUUCCUGGUGCCCACUGGAACUGCAAUUGGACCUGGCUGCCUCCGAUUUACCGAGGCUCCAUUUUAUUUAUUUAUUUUUAAACUUAUUUUAAAAGUAGAGAUGGAGGCGGGUCUCCCUAUGUUGCCCAGUCUGGUCUUGAACUCUUGGCCUCAAGCUAUCCUCCUGCCUUGGCCUCCCAGGUGCUGACAUUUUAGGUGUAAGCUACCGUUCCAGGCUGAAUUUACUUUCUUUGAGACUGUGGCAGAUGCGCUUGAAGCCAGCAGCAAAAGCAAUGCCCAUGGAGUGGUUUGGGCUGAAACUGUUCAGCCAUUCAUAGCUCAGCACCGUCUUGGUCUUCCAUUACCAGUGGAAGGGUCCAGGGCUCCUGAGAGGCAGCUUGGCCCCAUGCAAUGGCUUCCUCCACUUCCACAAUCCCCUCACCUGGCAGGGAGAUAGUGAGCAAGCAAGAAGGGGAUUAGCCUCCUGCCUGGGCAGGACCGUGGGGCACAAGGCAAGCUCCAGGCAGGGUUCUUCAGGACAGAGAGGGCAGCACAAACACCAGGCCCUGGCUUGAAUAUGUGUUUCACCACUUGCUGGCCAGCAACCCUGGGCAGUUCUCUUAACCUCUCCAAGUCUCAGUUAUUUGGUCUGUAAAAUGGGUAUGAUUACACCUGUCUCCCAGGGCUGCUGGGGAAUGACAGUGUGUAAAGCCUAAGCACAGUGCUAGGUGCAUCCCUGGCACCUGCCAUAGUUAAGGGUGGGGGGCAGGGCUGGUGGGAAAACAGGAUGGGGGAGAGAAAGAGAAGCAGAAGAGGAAAAUGCUGGGGAAGGAGAAUGCCCUGGGUUUUACAGGGUUCUGCAGUUUAGGGUCAUUCUUCUACCCUCUCCCACCUUUGCUCAGGGCUUGGGCACAUGCUCUUCCUUCUCCUCCUGUACACUCCUGCCCGCUAUCCAGCAAGGCCUCUCCACCCUGAGGAAGCAUCAGUUUAAAAACCACCUCUUCAGCUGGGCCUGAUGGUGCAUACCUGUUAGUCCCAGCUACUCAGGAGGCUGAUGUGGGAGGAUCACUUGAGCCCAGGAAUUGGAGGCUGCAGUGAGCCGUGAUCAUGCCACUGCACUCCAGCCUGAGCAACAGAAGGAGACCCCAUCUCUAAAAAACCACAAGAAAAACAAAACCCCACCUCCUUGAAGAGAUCUUCCCUAGCAACCCCCACUCACCUCUAGAAUAGAUCCCUUCCACCCUGUUUUUCCUUCAGUGUGAGAUUUCUAGAUUUAUUUGUCUGAUUAUUUGCCCCCAAGACCAUCAGCUCCAGGAGGGCAAGGACUGUGUUCACUUUGCUCACUUCUGUAUACAGCACCCAGCAUCAUGCCUGGCACAGAGUUUGGGAAGGGGACGAUGAUGAUCCCUUGUCUGCACCUCAGAGAGGCAGCAGGGACUGUGGGCAGGGACCUCCAGGCCAUAAGGAGCUGGAGGGAGUCCUAGAGGGUGGAGGGAGCGAAAGCAGGCCAGAGAGGCAAAGGGGCAGGAGACAUGUGAGGGCAUUCUAGGUGUGGGGAAUGGCUUAUGCCACUGUCCAGGUGCAUGAACCUAUCAGGGAGUUGGGGAAGACAAAACUCUUGGUAGUGGCUGUAGCAGAGCAAUGGUGAAGGAGCCAGUCUGCCGCAGCCACUCUUCAGGACUUUGCUUUCCUGGGGCCAGGUUGCAAACAACCUUGAAGCUUGACCAGGGUAUGUGGACCUUAUCCUAAUUUUUAUGGGUUUUGUUUGUUUGUUUAAUCAGAGACAGGGUCUCUCUAUGUUGCCCUGUUUAGUUUCCAACUCCUAGACUCAAGAGUCCUCCUGCCUCAGCUCCCCAAAGUGCUGGGAUUACAGGCAUGAGCAGCCUGGCCUAUUGGAGGUGGUGUGUGUUUGUUUGUUUGUUUGAGACAGAGUCUAGCUCUGUCGUCCAGGCUGGAGUGCAAUGGCACCCUCUCAGCUCACUGCAACCUCUGCCUCCUGGGUUCAAGCAAUUCUCCUGCCUCAGCCUCCUGAGUAGCUGGGACUACAGGUGCACACCACCACGCCCAGCUAAUUUUUGUAUUUUUAGUGGAGAUGAGGUUUCAUCAUGUUGGCCAGGCUGGUCUUGAGCUCCUGACCUCAAGUGAUCCGCUCGCCCCCGCCGCGGCCUCCCAAAGUGCUGGGAUUACAGGUAUGAGCCACUUUGCUUGGCCCCUAUCCUAGGUUUUUAAGUAGGGAAGUAACAUGAUCAAGCUUGUCUUGCUCAGAGCUCCCCUCGGAGGAAAGGCUGGAGGAGGUGACUGAAGCUGUUGCCUUGAGGACCCAGUCUGGUCUCCAGCCUCAGUGCUUCAAGGACAGGGUCCUUGCUGUAUAGAGCUACUGGUGAUUCAGACACAAUCCACCUUGUGUUGCCUGCGGCUGACCUCCACUGGCAGGUGCCCUCUCCCUCUACAGUGGAGGUGUAUGCGCUCAGGCAAUGCAGGCUCAGCCCAGCUGUGGUCCCCCUGGAGGCAGUGAGCCCUUUGAGAGGUCUGAGCCAGGGGUGGUGGUUCACACCUGUCAUCCCAGCAGUUUGGAAGGCUGAGGCUGGAGGAUUGCUUGAGGCCAGAAGUUUGAGACCAGCCUAGGGAACAUAGCAAACCUAUCUCUA
rnacentral:lncRNA from 1 species